rnacentral:misc_RNA from 1 species
AACGCACAUUGCGCCUUUUGGUAUUCCAGAAGGCAUGCCUGUUUGAGCGUCAUUUCUCUCUCACAUUCAGUGGUUUUGUCGUUAUUUCUCUCUCUUCUGAAGGAGAAUGCGGUGAAAAGAAAUGGCAGCGCUUAGAAGUCGCCAGACGUGUUUUAGGUUGUACCAACUACACUAGUAAGUGACUUCACCGAGUCGGCUUGAUAACUCUUUCAAUGUUGACCUCAAAUCAGGUAAGAAUACCCGCUGAACUUAA